GAUGAAGAACGUAGCGAAAUGCGAUAAGUAAUGUGAAUUGCAGAAUUCAGUGAAUCAUCGAAUCUUUGAACGCACAUUGCGCUCCCUGGUAUUCCAGGGAGCAUGCCUGUUCGAGCGUCAUUACAACCCUCAAGCUCUGCUUGGUGUUGGGCCCCGCCGCCCCGGCGGGCCCUAAAGUCAGUGGCGGUGCCGUCCGGCUCCGAGCGUAGUACAUCUCUCGCUCCAGGGUCCGGUGGCCGCCUGCCAGAACCCCCCAACUCUGUGGUUGACCUCGGAUCAGGUAGGGAUACCCGCUGAACUUAAGCAUAUCAAUAAGCGGAGGA
rnacentral:misc_RNA from 1 species